UGCAAGUCGAGGGGCAGCGGGAUUGAAGCUUGCUUCAAUUGCCGGCGACCGGCGCACGGGUGAGUAACGCGUAUCCAACCUUCCGUACACUCAGGGAUAGCCUUUCGAAAGAAAGAUUAAUACCUGAUGGUAUGAUGAGAUUGCAUGAUAGCAUCAUUAAAGAUUUAUCGGUGUACGAUGGGGAUGCGUUCCAUUAGGUAGUAGGCGGGGUAACGGCCCACCUAGCCAACGAUGGAUAGGGGUUCUGAGAGGAAGGUCCCCCACAUUGGAACUGAGACACGGUCCAAACUCCUACGGGAGGCAGCAGUGAGGAAUAUUGGUCAAUGGACGAGAGUCUGAACCAGCCAAGUAGCGUGAAGGAUGAAGGUCUUACGGAUUGUAAACUUCUUUUAUAAGGGAAUAAAACCUCCCACGUGUGGGAGCUUGUAUGUACCUUAUGAAUAAGCAUCGGCUAACUCCGUGCCAGCAGCCGCGGUAAUACGGAGGAUGCGAGCGUUAUCCGGAUUUAUUGGGUUUAAAGGGAGCGCAGACGGGUCGUUAAGUCAGCUGUGAAAGUUUGGGGCUCAACCUUAAAAUUGCAGUUGAUACUGGCGUCCUUGAGUGCGGUUGAGGUGUGCGGAAUUCGUGGUGUAGCGGUGAAAUGCUUAGAUAUCACGAA
rnacentral:rRNA from 1 species